rnacentral:lncRNA from 1 species
AUAAAUAUUGACACAAGACUAUAACAAUGAAUAAAGAGAAAGAAGAUUGUCGUAAUCUUCACAAAUAUUUGAAGAUUUUGGUGAGUAUGUUAACCAAAGGAAAGGUGUAUAUACCAAGGUAAUAAUCCAGUCUUAAAAGAUUCACUUCUUGAUACUUUUCUUUGUACAUACAAUUUAAAGGAAAUCGUUCUUAAAAUAUUUGUAUAAUAAAAUCAAAUGGUGAAUUGUUGCUAAUCUGAAGUGGUUUAAAAUGUUUUUGAUGUUAGGUUUUUUUUUUUUAUAUAAGAUUGACUGUUUAUUGGCACUGAUUAGAAUAAUGAACUUGUAUACCUUGUUAGAUGUUCAGAAAUAUCUGUGCUAUAAGGACUCUCAAAUCUUAAAGGUUUUCUUUAUUUUUGUGUAAAUGGGUUUUUAUCACAUUGUUUUUUGUUUAAAUUGUUUUACAUUUGUCAUUUCAGGGUCUUUUCAUAGCUAUUCAAAUUUCAAAAAAUUCAAUGAAGUUUUUGACAAAAUUAUUUAUGUCAUUACCUUUAUCAAGCAAAAAAACAAACACACCUCAAAACUAUCUACCCCACUGUCAAUAACUAGAAAUAACAAAUAUCUUUAUUUUUAAUUUACUGUGAUAAUAAUGAAAGUGUUACUCUUCACCUUUUCUAGUUUAUUCAAAGUUCUGACCAUAUUUCAAAUUGUUUUAUCAAACCAACCUGUUCAAACGGUCGGAAAUUUGAACAAACUGCUGUUAAAAUAAACCCAUAUUACGUGAAGAGCAAUACUUACAGUAAACUCACAGUAACAUGGACUCAGACCAACUCUUGCAAUGUAUUGGUUACUACUAAUAUGCAGGUCUUUCUUUAUGUUUACCUGUCAACAAAUGUUGUUUGAAAUAUUCAAUGCUUCACAAACCUUUUCAGUAACAGUUGAAAAAGACUAUAGCUGUCAUUGAAAGUUAAGAUUAGCCUUUUUUUAAAACACAAAAAUAAUGGGAUUAUCAAAUUAUUAGCUGUUGGCAUCUUGGCAGCCAUAUGAAUCACUGAAGAUUGGGUCUCUUUGAUCUGCUUUGUAAGUAUUAAACGAUUUUCAUCUCAGUCACUUGUAUAUAACUUUAAAAUACUGAUAACUUUUUCAAAUACCAUUGUCCUUAGGUGUGGCCUCCAUGUGCCAAAUCAAAAACUUAUGUCAAAGAAAAAAAGUCUUGUUUCAGAUACCUUCUUUUGAUAAUAGAACUCAGUGCCAAAUAUCAUAAGUCAGUUUCAAAAGAUAAAAAAGAUCAAAAAGUUAUGGCCUGACAAGGUUUUGUGAGUAACAGAAGAACUACAUUAGAAGAAGCACUAUUGCAUAAAACAUCAUGAUUCCCAUAAUUCUGAUCCACGCACAUCAUCAAUUUUGAUUAUUGCCCGGUUCAUCAUUGCUAUUGUUGUAGAAUGGCCAAAAAUGGGAGAACAAACAUAGCGAUCUCAUGAAAAUAUGCAUACAGCUAUAUGAAUCAAUAUGUAUUUUCUAGUAAGAUACAUCUUGCUUUUAUCUUGGUCUAGGAUUGGGACCACAACCUCAAAUUUGUCUAUGUUGUUCAUUAUUAAUGUCCAUAAGUAGGAAUUACAAAAGUGGAACUUGUUAUAGACAACAUAAUCAAUCAUUAUACAUUGUACAUUACUCCAAUGCAAUGUGAGAAGGAUACGAUUUAGUCUGUUUAAACUUUGCUGUUUUGACAAUUGUCUAUCUUGAACUAUUUUUACUUUUAUUACACUAAAAAUACCUUAAAAUAUUGUAUCAAUGUCAUAAAAUAUAUUUUAAACAAGACUCACAAUUACAAUCAUAUUGAAACUAAGAUAUUUAAUAUGUGCAAACAGUUCAAGCAGAAAACUAUUUCAUAAUUAAUAUCAUUUCAUAAAUCUGUAAUUACAUUCCAUGACAAAACCAGUGAGUUGUUCAAGUUCAAAUUUGAGUUUUUCUGUAAAUUUUUAAAAAUCAUACUUCUAAUAUUACUUUCUUUUUUGCCUGAAUUGCAUGUCCUGUUAAAAGUUUAAUCAUGAACUGAUAUCGCUGAAUAGAGAAUAUUGAGUUUUUCUGUCAAUUUCUGAAAACCAUCCUUCUAAUUUUGCUUUUUAUUUUUUGCCUGAAUUGCAUGUCCCUUUAUAAGGUAAAAUCAUAAGCUGAUAUCGCUGAAUAGAGAAAGUUGGAUCAAAUCAUCAUUUUGAAGGGGAUUUAUUUCAUUUAUCAAAUAACAAUUUGAUGUAGUACCAAGAUGAAGAGCAAUAUUUGUUCAGUUAUAUUGACUGGUUACUUCACCUCAGUUAAAAUAUCUGACCUCAUAAAAAUCUCCCCAAACAACAGACCCUAUCUGAUAAAUUUGAAGAAGUUACAAUUUUUUGUUGCCAUUUACUGAAUUGAAACAAAAGAGAAAUUUAGACCAGAUAAAUCCUAUAAGGCUGUCACUUGGAAAACAAGAGGGUUAAAUAUUAAAACAUUCAACUCAGCGGGAAUAUAAAGGCUAAAGUUCAAGUAGAAAGUUGAGAGGCUUUUCUUUAAACACCUGCAUUAAUGCUGCACUCAUGGUCCAAUUCUUCAAAGAACAUUAUUUCCAUGCUACAAAUCCUCAAGAAGAUUCCCCUAUAUGAUUUGAUCUCCUAAUAGCUUUCAAACUGUUUUGGGAUUUUAUAACCCACAUAUUAGAGUAAUCUGGGUUUAAUAAUAAGUUUGAAAGAAUAAAAUUGUCAUCUGUUUCAGUCAAGAGUUCACAAAUUAAGGGCAAAAACUCAUAUUUAUGUUAAAAACAUAAGAUAUUAAAGGAAAUAUCUUAAAUUUAAGUAAACUUGGUCAUUACUUAAUGGUAGUUGGAGUCAUCAACCUAAAGAUUAUACUGUUAAAAUCUGAAGAGAUAAAGAUAAAAUGUGUCAUUUCUAAUAUCACCAAACAGAGUAUUACAGAAUAUUAAUCUUGUCAGAUGUUUACUGAAAGCUUGAAAGCAUUGUCAGAUUGAUGAUAAUAUUUUCCUGGAAAUAUAUCAUACUUUUCUUUCAAAAAAAUAUUCUUUGAUAGUUUAGUACAAUAUUUUGAGAAAAAUUGGUGGCAAUUCUAUGAGCACAACUUAUCUUUAAAAAAAAUCGUGUGUCAGUUCCUGAAAAUAAAACCAUUUCAGUGUGUUGUGUUCAAAUUUUAUAUUAUUAUUUUUCUUUUCAACCAAUUAACAAACUUGUGACUACAAUGUCCAGUUAGUUUAUGAUGUGUCACGUCAAGAUUAAAAUCAUUAAAAGUUAACUCCUUAUUUGUUGUUGAAUUAAUAAAAGAUAAGAUUCACACACAUUGAACAACCAAACCACUGAAUUCACUAGACUAUAUAUCCUCGCCACAAGUUAGCCAAUUACACAGAGUUGUUACAAUAAUAAUCAAAUUUCCCCUUGUUCUGUAAAAUCACUAUGAUAACAAUGCAUUCUCAAUUUACACCUUACUAUAAUGUGGCUAUUAACAAACUAGUACUAUUUCUACAGAUUGGUCGAUUUCCAUAACACUUACUGACCAAAUGUUUAUAUUAUGUGUGAAAUCAAUUACAGGCAUUGAAAAAUUAUUUAUUGCAAAAACACUUUAAUUUGUAGGCAUAAAUUUAAGUUUUAGUUCAGGAAUACAACAGUAUGAUUUCAAAUGUUGUUUAAAAACUAUAAAGUUUUAAAUAUUUGAGAACAAGAGGUCAUAUCUUUAGUUGGCAUCCCCUUGCUCUCAAUCUGAUGACUAAAACUGGUAUUUGUUGCUAAGUAAAAUACAUGUACUGUGGAUUCAUUUAUUUUCUUGUGCAUCAAUUUUCGUGGAUGAGAGAAACUUGAGAGUUUGUGCAGAUUUAAUUUCGUGGUAUUGCCGAAGUUUGCAUACAAGCCUUUAGAAAAUUUGUUUUUCGUUGAUAAAUUUUGUUGUUCACCUGUACCAACUAAAUCCAUGAAAAUCUGUAUCCAACAAAUAAUAAUGGAUCCACAGUAGUAGUAUUGCAAAAAUGGUUUGAUACAUGUGAAAAUAAUAAUGUGUCCUGGUAGUGUAACUGUUUUUUUACAGAAUGCAAUAUUUAUACCAUGGAAGUAAAAUGAGUAUAAUACUUCCAUGUUUAUACAAAGCAAGGUCACUUAAUAAAUGUAUAUGCCUUCAACUCCUAGGGGUAUAAAUGUGCAUUUCAUAAAUAAACCAGGUGCUCCGCAGGGCGCAGCUUUAUACGACCGCAGAGGUCGAACCCUGAACAGUUGGGGCAAGUAUGGACAAAACAUUCAAGCGUGAUACAGCUCUGAAUUUGGAUUGUGAUCAAAUUUUUGACAUUACAUGGUUUUUUUUUACACAAAACAAAUGUCAAGAUUUUACAAAUCAAUUAAAGAUUUCUUCUUCAAACUUUUUAAAUCUAAAAUUAAAUAGUUGACACAGAAUAGGUUUCUGACACAGAAUGAAUGUGGUCUAAUGAACUUAAAAGUUUUUUUUUUGCCUUUGAGCAAUUCACUAUGCUGUUGAAUAUUAAUCCUCUCAAAAAAAUGUUUGAAGAAAUUUUCUUUUUAUUUAUGAAAUCUGAAAUGAGAAAAAUUUAAACCUCCCCCCCCCCUUUUUUUUCACAUCCCCGUUUCCCUUUUUCCAAAACUGAUAUCAAUUCAAAUUUCUAAUGGAGUUUGCAACAAUAACUACUCUUUUAAAUACACAUCAUAAAAAUAUUAAAAUGUAAAUAAAGUGCUUGUUAUCACUGAAUGGUAAAGAUUGGUUGGUAGUAAAAGUGAAUAUACAUUGUUUAUUGUAUAAAACAAUAAAAAAAACUUCAUCAGCAACAUUUUAUAUUGGCAAAUUUCCAAUGAAGUUAUUUACAUAAAGUUAUGGCAAAUAAAAAUAGAAAAUGACAUCAUAGUCAUGUCUGGUAAAUGUCCAACAUACAUUAUCUAAAAACAUUUUAGAUAAGAUAAGGAAAAAAAGCUUCAUCAGCAACAUUUUAUGUUGGCAAAUUUCCAAUGAAGUUAUUUACAUAAAGUUAUUGGCAAAUAAAAAUAGAAAAAUGACAUCAUAGUCAUGUCUGGCAAAUUUCCAACAUAUAUUUAUCAACUACUAUUCUAUACAAAGAAAGAUAACUCCAAUUGAAAAUUAAUUGCUAUUGCACAAUAUUGUGCAAUUAGAUAUUUCUUUACUAUUGUGCAAUACUGUGCAAUUGAAAAUUUCUUGCUAUUGCACAAUACUUGAUAUGGAAUCCUGAUUUGGGACCAACUUGAAAAACUGGGCCCAUAAUCAAAAAUCAAAGUACAUAUUUAGAUAAAGCAUAUCAAAUAAAGCCCAAGAAUUUAAUUUUUGUUAAAAUCAAACUUAGUUUAAUUUUGGACCCUUUGGACCUUAAUGUAGACCAAUUUGAAAACUGGACCAAAAAUUAAGAAUCUACAUACACAGUUUAGAUUUGGCAUAUCAAAGAACCCAUUUAUUCAAUUUUUGAUGAAUCAAACAAAGUUUUAAUUUGGACCCCCAUUUGGACCAACUUGAAAACUAGGCCAAUAAUUAAAAAUCUAAGUACAUUUUUAAAUUCAGCAUAUCAAAGAACCCCAAGGAUUCAAUUUUUGUUAAAAUCAAACUAAGUUUAAUUUUGGACCCUUUGGACCUUAAUGUAGACCAAUUUGAAAACGGGACCAAAAAUUAAGAAUCUACAUACAUAGUUAGAUUCGGCAUAUCAAAGAACCCCAAUUAUUCAAUUUUUGAUGAAAUCACACAAAGUUCAAUUUGGACCCUUUGGCCCCUUAUUCCUAAACUGUUAGGACCAAAACUCCCAAAAUCAAACCCAACCUUCCUUUUAUGGUCCAUAAACCUUGUGUUUAAAUUUCAUAGAUUUCUAUUUACUUAUACUAAAGUUAUGGUGCAAAAACCAAAAUAAUGCUUAUUUGGGCCCUUUUUGGCCCCUAAUUCAAACUGUUGUGACCUCAACUCCCAAAUCAAUCCCAACCUUCCUUUUGUGGUCAUAAACCUUGUGUCAAAAUUUCAUAGAUUUCUAUUCACUUAAACUAAAGUUAUAGUGCGAAAACCAAGAAAAUGCUUAUUUGGGCCCUUUUGGCCCUAAUUCCUAAAAUGUUGGGACCAAAACUCCCAAAAUCAAUCCCAACCUUCCUUUUGUGGUCAUAAACCUUGUGUUAAAAUUUCAUUGAUUUCUAUUCAUUUUACUAAAGUUAGAGUGCGAAAACUAAAAGUAUUCGGACGACGACGACGACGAGGACGAGGACGACGACGACGCAGACGACGACGCCAACGUGAUAGCAAUAUACGACCAAAAAAUUAAAAUCUUUGCGGUCGUAUAAAAAUUAAAAAAAUUAAAAAUAUAAAAAAAAAAAAAAAUUAAAAAGUUAUCGUCAGGAAUCUGUCUGUAAUAUUUGCCACUGUAAAGCAGCAAUAAAUGAAUCGAUCAUAUCACUUUUUUUUUCUAAUUCCAGCUCAAUUCUAUUUCUGUUGAAUGUACUUUAACUCUACAUGCCUGAUAGCGGAGGACAUUUUUGUCAUACAUAGAUUGUUAUCCAUUCCCAAUGGGAUAUCUACCUUAUACCGUAACACAAAAAUUCAAAUUGGAUUGGAAAAAAUUAUGAUUGGAUGAAGGAUCAAAAGUUUUUGAUGGGUUAAUCACACACAUUAAUCUGUCAUUACGGUAAUACCUUGGAUCAACCAUUCACUCUGGGUAAUAUUGAUUGGAUUGUGACUUUGUGAGGAUCCUACAGGACAAACCGACAGGCCAAAUGUUAUUACUUCAUAGUGGAACGGAAUCAAGACACAUAUUAAUACAAAAUAUAUAUUAAAAUCGAC